rnacentral:misc_RNA from 1 species
AAGAAAGCAAGUACACAGGCCAUAUAAAGAGACCCGUGUAAAGUUUCCUGGCCUGGGUAACCAUUUGUCACACCAAAAAUUGCAAGUGUUAAGAGCUCCAAAGACUUACAUGGCCUGCCUGUCUAAUGAAGCAUAGGCCAUAUAAAAUGUUCCAGCUCAAACUUCAAAUUGACUCUAACUCUUUUUUGCAUGACUCAAACAAACUUUUAAGGCCUUUAGGACUCUGAAUUGAAUGUUUUUAUGCCAGAUAUAAAUACAUGAAGUCAAGAACAAGUCAAGGAUCUCAUUUUUUAUGUUCUUACUUUGUUUUUAUGCAAUUUGGAGAGAUUUGCACAAGAUUCAAAUGAGAGAUUUAUAGUCGAAGUUCUAAAAGUUCAAAGCUACUGAAUCAUCUAUCAGGGUUUCUUCGUUUUAUUUCUUCAGAUGUUUUGUUAUUGUUAUUAAUUUCAUGUUAA